AAAACUUUUUGCUUGGUCUGCCCGACACCUAAUGAGAAGAAGUUGUAUCUUAUUGAUCUUGGUUUGGCAUCAAAAUGGAGAGAUUCAUCAUCUGGUCGUCAUGUUGAAUAUGACCAAAAGUCGGAUGUUUUCAGGGGAACUGUACGCUAUGCGAGUGUACAUGCUCAUUUAGGCAGAACAGGGAGCCGUCGGGAUGAUCUUGAGUCGCUAGCUUAUACCUUGGCAUCUAAUUUACUGAAUGACUUCAAGAGGGAGCAUGAAGUGGAAUUGCUGCCAACUUCUUUAUAUAUGUAAAUAUGAACUGUACAAUUUUUGACGUGUAUAGAUUUUUGUAUUAUGUUUUAUAUUGAUUUUGUACUAAAUAUUUUUCUUUUUAGUUUGUAUUUUGUUUAUCUAUUUUAUAAAAAUUAAUUUUGAUAUUU